CCUCCUUGCUGGGCGCAUGUCUGAACGGAGUGUGGAUGUCAGCUGUGCUUUCGAGCACCACCACGUCAAUCGACACAGUCGCUGACAGGGAGGCUUCUCCAUUGUCACAGACCGACACCACCAAGGGGUGACUUUUCAGGUCAUUGUCGCUCAUUCGCCUCUUGGUCCGAAUCUCCCCGGUGCUGGUUCCGAUCCGGAAGAGGUUGUUGUUGCCUUUGGGCUCAGACAGGUGAUAGGAGAGCAGCGCAUUGUAGCCGGAGUCUGCAUCCACUGCCCUGAUCUUUGCCACAAAGUAUCCCGCUUCGGCAGAAUAGGGGAUGCUCUCACUGUUCACGGAGCCGUGCUCGGAAUAGGGAGCCAAAACGGUGGGACUGUUGUCA